rnacentral:rRNA from 1 species
GAUGAACGCUGGCGGCGUGCCUAACACAUGCAAGUCGAACGGAGUCCAGCCUUUAAGACCUUCGGGUCAAAGAGGGGAAGACUGAGUGGCGGACGGGUGAGUAACACGUGGGCAACCUGGCUCAUAGAGGGGGAUAACAGAGAGAAAUUUCUGCUAAUACCGCAUAAGCACACACUGCCGCAUGGCAGAGGGUGAAAAGAGAAUCGCUAUGAGAUGGACCCGCGUCUGAUUAGCCAGGUGGCAGGGUAAGAGCCUACCAAAGCGACGAUCAGUAGCCGAGCUGAGAAGAUGAACGGCCACAUUGGGACUGAGACACGGCCCAAACUCCUACGGGAGGCAGCAGUGGGGGAUAUUGCACAAGGGGGGGAACCCUGAUGCAGCGGCGCCGCGUGAGUGAAGAAGUAUUUCGGUAUGUAAAGCUCUAUCAGCAGGGAAGAUAAUGACAGUACCUGAAUAAGAAGCCCCGGCUAACUACGUG